UAGAUGAGCGGCAUGACAAUUAUGUGUUGUUUACUGUUAGUCCUACUUUGUAUUUUCUGCAUUCAGAGUCUCUUCCUGCCCUGGAUCUCAAACCAGCUUCAGGUGUAUCUAGAAGACCCUGGGUCCUUGGAAAAGUAAUGGAAAAGGAAUACUGUCAAGCCAAAAAGGCACAAAACAGAUUUAAAGUUCCUUUGGGGACAAAGUUUUACAGAGUGAAAGCUGUGUCAUGGAAUAAGAAAGUAUAGCCACAGAAAAAAUCUCUACAUCUGAUACCAUUUUCUGAUUUGUCCUUCAGUGCUGAUAAACCACUCCAAAAACAACUGGCCAUCCUUUUUUACAAAAGUAAACAUGACAACAUACUUCAUUGGUGAACUACACUUACCUUUUAAGUGACUACAUCUUAGGAACAAUAAAUUUAUUAAAUUCU
rnacentral:lncRNA from 1 species